rnacentral:rRNA from 1 species
GUGGGGAAUAUUCCGCAAUGGACGAAAGUCUGACGGAGCAACGCCGCGUGAGUGAUGAAGGUUUUCGGACUGUAAAGCUCUGUUGUUUAGGACGAAAGUGCCUGUUGCGAAUAGUUACAGGUAUUGUCGGUACUGAACGAGGAAGCCACGGCUAACUACGUGCCAGCAGCCGCGGUAAUACGUAGGUGGCAAGCGUUGUCCGGAAUUAUUGGGCGUAAAGAGCAUGUAGGCGGGAAUCUAAGUCUGUUGUGAAAAUGCGGGGCUCAACCCCGUAUUGCGAUGGAAACUGGGUUUCUUGAGUGCAGGAGAGGAAAGGGGAAUUCCCAGGGUAGCGGUGAAAUGCGUAGAUAUUGGGAGGAACACCAGUGGCGAAGGCGCCUUUCUGGACUGUGUCUGACGCUGAGAUGCGAAAGCCAGGGUAGCGAACGGGAUUAGAAACCCGUGUAGUCC